UGGCAUUAGAUAGCUAUUCUGACCGAUCCACCUGAUGAACAGAAUUUUUUUCCGAUCUGGGAAGCAAUCAGGUCGGUGCAAAAAAUGUAAACAGUCAUCAAAUCAAAUUAUGCAGUUUUCUUUCUCAAUAACCAGUUGCUCCAACACUCCAAAUUCCGGUAAGAUAAAUUCAACGCCUUUUAGUUCCAUUCCGGCCAGUUUCGACAGCUCCAGAGUUAGUCGUACCUUCGACAUCGGAUCGACCGGGGAUUAAGCUGGUGGAAAUCAAAUAGCGAAACUGGUUGAUCAGCCCGCUGAUCUGAAGCAGGAUGAAGUGUUAUGUGCAUAGAGUUUUUCGAAUGUACGAUCGCAGGUUCUCAGCUGACACUGGCGACUGGUUCGCUUUACCAUGGACUUCGAAACCAACCGUACUUCUCAAAGGUGGUUCUCUCUUAAAUUUACUGCUCACUACAACCGGUGACAAAGUUCCGCCCUUCGUUAUCAAACAACAGCAACAGGCAGCGCAACAGCAGCAUCAAAGCGAACCGAGCAAAUUAACUUGGACGACAGUAGGACCAGGAAAAACCUUCCUCGAGUCAACAUUUUACCGCAUUUACAAUAAACUGCGGUGAUGUUCAAUCCAAAAAAUCAAUUGAUAUCUCGCUCCGGAUUGAAAGCUGGUGAUUUAACAGUUUCCAUAAAGAUCAGUGUCAAGUUAGAAGGAUCAUCGGGAGGACCUAUUUAGAUGCAAAGGUACCAGCAGCAGCAACAAUAGUUGCCAGAAACAGUGUUUUUGCUUGCCGAAUGUCGAUGGCCGAAAAAUUCUUAUCUGGCGCCGUCUUUCCUGCUCCUGAUGUUCAACAUCGUCGGAGGUCAUACCAGAUUCUGAAAAUUGGAAAGAUGCCAUCACAGAAGGCAACUUUAGAUUUUUUAGACAUUUGUACACUAUCGCUGCGGACCGCCCUGCCUUUCUAAUGGUUUCGAGGAUAAGAUUAUAAUGUUAUUACGGAACGUCCAGUUAUGGUUUAAUGAUGACCUGGAGAAAUUAAGGCGAGACAACUGAAAAUGGCCACAAACCGGUAAGAUAAAACUUUAUUAACCUUCCCAUGCCGUUCGGGUCAAUAUGACCCGAAGCGCACAUUUAAAAUCUCUUCAUCAUCAUUCCAAUAUACUGAAGAACUUGGAAUUUUGACAGACCAAGUAUGUUCUAUGAAAAUAAUGAUCAAAUUAACGUCAAAAAAUUGAAAUAUGAGUUUUGAAAAUCGGUUCAUUGGGAAAUGAAAUACAGCUAAGCAAAGCAAAAAUUGGAUAUCGUUUUUUUAAAGUUAGAUUUUUUUCUACCGGAAGAUCUGAGAUAGCGGUCAAAACAUUCAUUGGACCCCAACAUAUCUAUACACUGUCGGAUAGAUGGAUUCUUGACGAUUUCAAACAUCAAUGAAACACUUAAAUACAGAAAAGCUGUCAAAAGUUAUGAGCAUUUUAAAAAUAAAAUUGAUUUUUCGGACUUUUUGCUUUCUGAACCAGUUUCUGAUAACUUGGUAAUACAUAUCGACUUUAUUUUAAAAUUUUGAGUAAUAAGAACAAAUUACCUACACAAUGAAUAUAAUAUCAUCAAAAUCGGUUAACAUUUACAGCCAGGACAACGAAAUCAAACUUCAACUCAAAUUUCCCCGAAACGGAUAUUUUGCGAACGGCAUGGGAAGGUUAAAUAAAUAUGCCCUUAUUCUGCGCCGCGCGUGAGGUGACGAUAGUCGAGGCAUCUUACCCUCAUGGAACUCAAGUCACCUUAUUCAGAUAGUCGGGGUAAAUGAAGUGACGUUCAUUACCAAAACUCAUCCGAAGUGAUGUUCCUCGCCCAAAGCGACUCCUGGAAUCGAGUGACUCGACUAUCGUCACUUCACGUGCGGCACAGAUUAAGGGUCAUGAUGCUUUUUUAUAUUAAUGACAAUACAAUUUACUGCUACCUUAUCAUCGAGAACAAUCGUUCAGAGAUUGGUUGAUACUUUUUAUUAUGAGAAAAGUUUAGUUUAGUUUAGUUUAGUAAUUUAGUUUAGUAAAUUAUUUUAUUUUUGGUAAAAUGAUUCACAAGCGGCUGAUCUGAUUUUGAUUUAUUUUUUUUUCUUAUGCUAGCAACGGUACAACGAUGACACCAAAAUUGAUUGUAUCCCAUUUACCCGAAAAGCAUUGCCCAGAAUGAAUUUUUACCAGAAUGACAAAUACCCGAAAUCAAACCCCAGAAUGAAUCAUUUCCCAGAAAAAAAUUCCCCAGAAUGCACCAUUUACCAGAAAUUUUUUUCCCAGAAUGGACCAUUUCCCAGAAUUUUUUUCCCCAGAAUGGAACAUUUCCCAGAAUGGCACAAAUCCCAGAUUUUUUCCUCUUGUAUUUUUAUUUGUUUUUUUUUCUAAUGAAUUCUUGUAAAUUUCAUAUGAUUCGAAAUUCAUUUUUUCGAAAUGAUUUUUUUAAAUGAAACUACAACUUUGAAUUUUCCAACUAAAUUUAUUUUAGAACCAAUAUUGUGCUUUGUUUAUAGUUUAUGGUACUUUAAUUGAUUCAAUGCUUAAUGAUCCUUUAAAAAACCGUUUUGGUAUCCGACUCCUCACGCUGCGCGUUCGAACUUGAAAGACGUUUUGUCCUUCACGCUGUCGCGUGGCGGACGGGGCUAAGGGAUCACCCCUAGCUUUCACGCAGACCUAGGAAGCCCCGGCAGACCUAGACCAAUGUAAUGGGGCCGCCGCUUCCGACGGCGGGUCGGCGGCCACCUCGGAUUUGGGAGCUUCGGCGGCUUUGUGCCGCCUCAGCCCCUUCAUCCUCGUUGGUUGCGGCUUUGCCGCAAAAGAAUUAAGUUAUGAAACCCCAUUUUUUGUAACAAUUCCUUUUUUUUAUUACUUUCUAGUAAGGAUAAAUGUUUUCAAUUUUCUGGGAAAUGGUUCUUCUGGCGAAAAAAAUUCUGGUAAAUGGUUCUUUCUGGUGAAAAAAUUUCUGGGAAAUGGUACAUUCUGGCGAAAAUUUUUCUGGGGAAUGGUUCGUCUGGGGAAAAAAAUUCUGGGGAAUGGUUCUUUCUGGCGAUUGAAAUUCUGGGGAUUUUUCAUUCUGGGCAAUGGUUUUCGGGUAAAUGGAGUACAACCCCAAAAUUAGUUCGGCAACUUCAUUCACCGAAUCAGACGUCCGGCUACCACGAAGACGAUUCAUCCAUCCGCGCUACUAUAUUAUCCCGUCUGAUAAAGAUUUUGCUGAUAAAAUUAUGACGAGAUUGCUUGAUUGUCGAUUUUGACAAUCUUUGGAUGCCACCGGAGCCAGACGUAAACCAGCGUAAUGAUUAAGCAAUAAAAUGCUUUAGUGUUGUAGUACGAUUGAGUCUUAUGUUACGCCAGGUACCGAACUUUAACAAGUUUCAGUACCAUAGGGUCUAAAACAAGAGCUGAAAUAUGCUCAAGGCGGUUGCUCAAAUCAAUAGUUAUAAUCACGAAAACAAAACCUCAUCGCAUCACCCGGUUAAACCGUUCAAAUUUUCCUCGAUCAACGUGACGCUGGUUCCGAAUCAGCAACAGUUCGCAGCUGUCGGAAAACGGCUUCCUCCUCUUCGGCAACCUAGUCGACGGUCAGCUGGGAGGGCAUCCUAGAACUCAUCAACAUACCCGAGGGCUUAAAUUCACUCCUGUUCGGCUGUGUUAAAUUUGUCGACAACGAAACGCUUCCACCGCACACUAAGUUUCACUUCCAGGAACUGAUCACCCGGGUGGAGAAUCAAUCGCUCUCGCUACGUUCUGGGGGCAGAAAGAAUGUGCAUGACAAUGAGAAACUCCUGCGAGAAGUCGGUCAGUCACUGAAGCAAAUCUCGAACAGGUUUUUUUUGACUUGUACAACAAGAGUCGGUCACCGGUAGUAAAUGUCAUCGCAAUUUUCAUGUCGCCUGAAUAGCCGUUAUUAUUAAAUCUGGUUUCGGCUGACCAGCGUUAUUUUAAACAAUUGUUCGUUAUUCUGAGAUGGCCCCACGAGCUGCCCUCCGACUCUGUUUAAAUCGCAACUUAUCCGUGUUCAUGUUGACAAAAGGAGUUUCUUACCAAACGAUAAUAGGUGCAACAUGGAGAACAGUAGCCUCAAUGAAUCCAUGAGUAGCAUGGACAAAUCUCAGGUCGAUAGUAGCGGCCAGUGGCUAGGUUCGAAAAAAUAUUUUUAUUCAUCGGUUGGUUACGAGUCGAUCCGAGGCCUGGUUUCGAAAUUUUCAGUUGAACCAAAGCUGCAACAGUCCCAUAGGAGCAACAACGGUUCGAAGAGGCCCCCGUGUUGGAGGAGAUCGAGAUAGGUGAAUUUCCUCCUUCAAUAUCUACUAAUCACAGGAGGACUUCUUUAAUGAACGUCCUGCUUUGAAAACUGUGAAAUGUUCUACGAUGACGAUUCGCCGGUGGCCACAGCUGUUCAUAGAAUGUGCCAGCAUUUGGUGAGGCGUUGGGCUGAACUGACCGAGAAGCCGGCCACGCAACAACCAUAAAGACAGCAAUCGUCAUGAAAGCAGGAUCAACAACACUCCGGAUACUCAUCUAGAUGCCCGCAGUUAGCGUCAACCGUUUCAAUUAGUUUAUCAGAAGUUAGUUUGAACAGUUUGACGUUUACAAUGAAUUGUUAAAUUGAAACUCGGUAAGGUAGUAGAAAACCAAGGCCAAAAAUGACCUCCUAGUGGAAAUAACAGGUUGAUUUAAUAGGUCAUGUAAAAAACUGUAGGCAAAUAGGAUUGUAGCAUUGAGACUGCGUUAGAAAAUUCCCAAAAUGAAUGUUCACUCGGUUUUAAAAGGUUCAAUUUAGUUUGAAAAUUUCAAACGUUAAACCAGGAAAAAUUGUUAUUACUUUCUAUUAUUUUAUUAUAAUUAUACAAUUAUGUUUUUAUAGAGGAAUAGCUAUUUUGUCUUGCAUCCCAAAACUCUUUGAAUCAAUAAUAAUUGAAAAAAUUUAUCAACAAGUAAAAAAUAUUAUAACGAGUAAACAACAUGGUUUCUUCAAAGGACGCUCUACAGCAUCAAAUCUUCUCGAAUUCGUUACAUACGUUAUCGAUUCUAUGAGCAAAGGCUUUCAUGUUGAGGCUAUUUAUACCGACUUUAGCAAAGCCUUUGAUCGCAUUGACAUACCCCUUCUAAUCUUCAAAUUAAAAAAAAUUGGCUUUCAUCCAAAUCUUCUCUCCUGGUUACAAUCAUAUUUAACUGAUCGAACGCAAAUCGUUCGUUUCCAAAACGAAUUAUCCAAAUCUGUAGCUGUGACCUCUGGUGUGCCUCAGGGGUCUCAUUUAGGACCUCUGCUUUUCAUACUGUUCGUUAACGACAUUUCCUUUAUUCUAAAACGGAUUGAAUACCUAAUAUACGCCGACGAUAUUAAACUAUUUCUGAAAAUAAAAACAACCGAAGAUGUUGAAACAUUUCAAAACGAAAUCAAUGUUUUCUUCGAAUGGUGCAACAAAAGUUUACUUCAAUUGAAUGUUAAAAAAUGCAACUCUAUAUCAUUUAGCAGAAAGCAAAGUUACCCCAUCAUUGAAACAAAAUUAGGCAAUCAACCAGUACAAAAAUGCAAAAUUGUAAGAGAUCUCGGCGUCAUACUGGAUUAAAAACUCACGUUUGUAGAACAUCAGAACAAUAUCAUCAAUAAAGCAAAUUGCAUGCUAGGAUUUGUAAAACGUUUCAGCAAACACUUUCAAGACCCAUACACCAUAAAAUCACUUUAUAUAUCCUAUGUUCGUUCGAUAUUGGAGUAUUGUAGCAUCAUAUGGAAUCCUUAUUCAAAUAUUCACGAGCAACGUCUCGAAUCAGUUCAAAAACAAUUUUUGUUAUAUGCGCUACGUAAAAUAAAUUGGACCACUUCUCCUCUGCCAUCGUACACGCAGCGAAAAGAUUUUUUAUUUCAAAGGAAAGUGUCGCAAAAACAAAGGAUUUUUUCCUUUGAUUUUGGGAUAAAUAAAAAUUCCUUUGUUUCAAAUGAAUUUUUCUUUGUUUCGAAGAAUUUUUCUUUUGAAAAAUCUUUGAAUCAAAAUUCUAAUCCUUUGAAACCAAAAACAUUUUCGUUUGAUACAAAGUUGUUUUCGUUUGCUACAAUGUAACAUAGAUUUAGAUUUAAAAGCAUUCAUUCAUUGAACUCUUUCCCAUUUAUUCCAAUUGGAAGAAAUAUUUUCAGUUGUUCCGAAGUUCCUAUUAGGAAUAUUAAAUAAUAAAAAGAAAAAUAUAAAAUUUUAAUUCUUUUUUAUUCACGAACUUAAAAAAAACACUUGUUCACUAUAUAAAUAAUUGAAUGAUCCGAUCCUAAAUUUCGGUGACAAAGUUUACCAGUCUGGCGUAGAGGCAUUUCUUCGUGAGCUGACUUCCGGAAGCAAGUCUCGUUGCUGGCUUUCCUCGCUAUCCGACUGGUGGUUGCCGCUGAAGAUCGGGCCGAAGAUAAACUAACCGCUGAAUUUCGGGUGGAAUCAGCAGUGGACCUGUAACAAUGCAAACGCUUAUAGAAAUUCUUAAAUAUUCCCUUUUUUAUUCACGGAUACACUUACCAUUCUUCAUCCUGAAUUCUCCUUAGCUAACUCUGAUUAACUGGUUUAGAUUUUUAACACAACCUACCAAACUCAAUUCUAUUUUUCUGCUUUAUUCAUCUUGCUC